rnacentral:rRNA from 1 species
CUACGGGUUGCAGCAGUGGGGAAUAUUGCACAAUGGGCGCAAGCCUGAUGCAGCCAUGCCGCGUGUAUGAAGAAGGCCUUCGGGUUGUAAAGUACUUUCAGCGGGGAGGAAGGGAGUAAAGUUAAUACCUUUGCUCAUUGACGUUACCCGCAGAAGAAGCACCGGCUAACUCCGUGCCAGCAGCCGGCGGUAAUACGGAGGGUGCAAGCGUUAAUCGGAAUUACUGGGCGUAAAGCGCACGCAGGCGGGUUGUUAAGUCAGAUGUGAAAUCCCCGGGCUCAACCUGGGAACUGCAUCUGAUACUGGCGAGCUUGAGUCUCGUAGAGGGGGGUAGAAUUCCAGGUGUAGCGGUGAAAUGCGUAGAGAUCUGGAGGAAUACCGGUGGCGAAGGCGGCCCCCUGGACGAAGACUGACGCUCAGGUGCGAAAGCGUGGGGAGCAAACAGGAUUAGAUACCCGGGUAGUC